rnacentral:rRNA from 1 species
UGGGACGAGAAAGGACGGUACCAUAUGAAUAAGUCCCGGCUAACUACGUGCCAGCAGCCGCGGUAAUACGUAGGGGGCAAGCGUUGUUCGGAAUUACUGGGCAUAAAGGGUGCGCAGGCGGAUUAUUAAGCAAGAGGUGAAAUGUCAAGGCUUAACCAUGGCACGGCCUUUUGAACUGGUAAUCUGGAGUACAGAAGGGGAGAGCAGAAUUUCCGGUGUAGGGGUGGAAUCUAUAGAUAUCGGAAGGAAUACCGUUCGCGAAGGCGGCUCUCUGGUCUGCUACUGACGCUCAUGCACGAAAGCGUGGGGAGCAAACAGGAUUAGAUACCCUGGUAGUCCACGCUGUAAACGUUGUACACUUGGUGGUUGGUCUUUAAGAUUGACUACCGGAGCUAAUGUGUUAAGUGUACCGCCUGAGGAGUACGGUCGCAAGGCUG